CUUUCUCUCUCUGCUUUGUCUCCCUCUUCCUCUCUCGUUUUCUCUUCGACGCAAACACCCCAAAUCUUCUCUGUUCCCUCAACAAUGUCGACUCUCAGAGUCCCAGAGCCAGUGCCCUCAGUGGCCGACGACUGCGAGCAACUCCGGAAAGCAUUCAAAGGAUGGGGAACAAAUGAGAAGUUGAUCAUAUCCAUAUUGGGUCAUAGGAAUGCGGCACAGAGGAAGCUGAUUAUGCAAACCUAUGCCGAGACUUAUGGUGAGGACCUCCUGAAGGCAUUGGACAGAGAACUUACGAAUGAUUUUGAGAGGCUGGUGGUCCUUUGGACGCUUGAUCCGGCUGAACGUGAUGCGUACUUGGCUAAUGAAGCAACGAAAAGAUGGACUUCAAGCAAUCAGGUUCUCAUGGAAAUAGCCUGCACAAGGUCUCCGCAGCGGUUGCUUUUGGCAAGACAAGCAUAUCAUGCUCGAUACAAGAAGUCGCUGGAAGAGGACGUGGCUCACCACACAACUGGAGACUUUCGCAAGUUGCUGGUACCUCUCGUGAGCUCAUACCGUUAUGAUGGAGAUGAGGUCAACAUGACUUUGGCAAAAGCAGAGGCUAAGAUACUCCACGAGAAGAUUUCAGAGAAGGCUUACAGCCACGAGGAUCUCAUAAGGAUUUUGGCUACUAGGAGCAAAGCACAAGUCAAUGCUACGCUGAAUCACUACAAAAAUGAGUUUGGAAAUGAUAUCAACAAGGAUUUGAAAACCGAUCCGAAAGACGAGUUCUUGGCUAUACUGAGAGCUACAGUCAAGUGCCUGACUCGCCCUGAGAAGUAUUUUGAGAAGGUUCUUCGUCUAGCCAUCAAUAGGCAAGGAACAGAUGAAGGGGCUCUGACCAGAGUGGUUGCUACCAGGGCUGAAGUCAACAUGAAGUUUAUAAGUGAGGAGUACCAGAGGAGGAACAGCGUCCCCCUUGAUCGCGCCAUUGUGAAGGACACUACUGGAGACUAUGAAAAAAUGCUUCUGGCACUGAUUGGCCAUGCUGAGGCUUGAUCCCCAGAAAGCUAUGCAAAGCAAAUUACAUUUCUUAUCAUGGCGUUGGUUUAUGUACUUUUGAGAAGUCUUUGAUGCUUGAGAAACUACCUAUUUCUGUUGUUUUGCCAGACGAUGUUCAACGGGGCGGCCAAAUCUCCACCAUAUUGCUUAAUGCUUGGGGUCAUUUCAACUUCAUGUGGAAACUACAUAUUACAUUGCCUUUUUAA